rnacentral:tRNA from 1 species
GCCCGAAUGGCGGAAUUGGUAGACGCAAGGGACUUAAAAUCCCUCGACCAAUAGGUUGUACCUGUUCGAUUCCGGUUUCGGGCA